rnacentral:rRNA from 1 species
CAGCCGCCGCGGGAAUACGGAGGGUCCGAGCGUUAAUCGGAAUUACUGGGCGUAAAGCGUGCGCAGGCGGUUUGUUAAGCGAGAUGUGAAAGGCCUGGGCUCAACCUAGGAAUAGCAUUUCGAACUGGCGAACUAGAGUCUUGUAGAGGGGGGUAGAAUUCCAGGUGUAGCGGUGAAAUGCGUAGAGAUCUGGAGGAAUACCGGUGGCGAAGGCGGCCCCCUGGACAAAGACUGACGCUCAUGCACGAAAGCGUGGGGAGCAAACAGGAUUAGAUACCCCUGUAGUCCCUGUCUCUUAUAC